GUCGUUAGCGAAAGCAAUUCAUCUAGGAGAGCAAACUCCGAUUACAAACCCGGGCAGGUGGAGGUCGUUAGCGAAAGCAGUUCACCUAGGAGAGCAAACUCCGAUUACAAACCCGGGCAGGUGAGGUUCGUUAGCCGUGGUAGGCAAUUCACCUAGGAGAGCAAACUCCGAACAAUAAACCCGGGCAGGUUGGGCUCGUGAGCCGUCAUAGGUAAUACACCUAGGAGAGCAAACUCCGAACAAUAAACCCGGGCAGGUGGAGCUCGUCAGCCGUGGUGGGCAAUCUGCCUAGGAGAGCAAACUCCGAACAAUAAACCCGGGCAGGUGGAGCUCGUCAGCCGUGGUAGGCAGUCUGCCUAGGAGAGCAAACUCCGAACAAUAAACCCGGGCAGGUGGAGCUCGUCAGCCGUGGUAGGCAGUCUGCCUAGGAGAGCAAACUUCGAACAAUAAACCCGGGCAGGUGGAGCUCGUCAGCCGUGGUAGGCAGUCUGCCUAGGAGAGCAAACUCCGAACAAUAAACCCGGGCAGGUGGAGCUCGUCAGCCGUGGUAGGCAGUCUGCCUAGGAGAGCAAACUCCGAACAAUAAACCGGGGCUUGUGGUGCUCGUUAGAUGUCGUAGACAAUCCACGUGAUGGGAACACCAAAGAAAAGGAAAAUAAAAAGGAACACCAGAAAAAGGAAAAUAUAGUAACAAAACAUCAAGAAAAUAAAAUAAAAAACACAGAUCAUCCACCUUCAGGCCCUAACAUCUCCAAAAUUAUGGGUGAGUCUUUUCUGGGGAGAAAGAGGCUCAUCCAGACCAAAGAACAUCAAAUAGGGAUGAUAUAGAAAGGAACACCAAAAAAUGGGAAAAAGAGAGAAAAACAUCGCAAAAGAAAAGUAACAACAAUAACAGAACAACGUCAAGAAAAGUAACAUACAAAGAAACAUCAUCCACCAUUCGGCCCCAAACUAACAUCACCAAAAUUAUGGGUGGGUCUUUUCUGGGGAGAAAGAGGCUCAUCCAGACCAAAGAACAUCAAAGAGGGAUGAUAUAGAAAAGAACACCAAAAAAUAGGGGAAAAAAGAACAAAAAAACAUCGCAAAAGAAAAGUAACAGCAAUAACAGAACAACAUCAAGAAAAGUAACA